UACGUAGGGUGCAAGCGUUAAUCGGAAUUACUGGGCGUAAAGCGUGCGCAGGCGGUUUUGUAAGUCUGUCGUGAAAUCCCCGGGCUCAACCUGGGAAUUGCGAUGGAGACUGCAAGGCUAGAAUCUGGCAGAGGGGGGUAGAAUUCCACGUGUGAGCAGUGAAAUGCGUAGAGAUGUGGAGGAACACCGAUGGCGAAGGCAGCCCCCUGGGUCAAGAUUGACGCUCAUGCACGAAAGCGUGGGGAGCAAACGAGGAUUAGAGU
rnacentral:rRNA from 1 species